UUAACAAGCCACGAGGUUGUUGCAGGUUUACACGUCGUGUUGAUAAUGUUUACGGGCUAUCUUGUUGGAUAUGCUUUAUUCCGAGCAUUGUUUAGGCACGAUCCGAUCAUGAGUGCUGCUGGAGGUAUCCUUGGAUUGGUUUUCGGCAUGCUCGUAGAAACACUUCUUUUCAUUAUUCGAGCAUCCAGUUACGAUAAUCGAUCUUCAUCGUCUUCCCGUUCUAAGCUAAAGAAGAAUCAGUAGAGUUACUUCUCUUGAGGUUUGCUUUCUUUCCACUUAAAUUGAACCUAUUAAGUUAGCUUUUACCCUAUGUUGUGGAUCAAAGCAUAAUAGGCAAGUAAGUAAUAAGGGCCUUGCUAAUGUGCUUGCUGUAAUUUGUUUGUAUGAAGUCGUGUUCUUCUGGUGAAGAACAUCAAAAGAAUUGAGAUCCGAUUGUUUAUCUCAGGAGAUGAAAUGAUUUUCUUUUGGAAAAGAAACCUUAAUGUAAGGAUACAAAGAACAAUCAGUUUGAAAUUCGAAGGUCGGUCUCGGAUCGACAAAGAGUCUCUACUAUAUGAUUUUAACGUACAUAUGUGGUUUUUCGGUUCGAUUCGGUUCGGUUGCUUUGACCCUAAACUCCAACAUGGAAUUCUGAAGUCCUCCGUCCCUCCUUCCUUCCUGAUCCGACUAAUUGUGAUCAUGUGAACAUAUUAUGUCGAGGUUGGAUUGUGCUCCAACUCGGACUUUUGAUGUAUAAUGUUUUAACAAGUUGCUAAUAGGCGUAAGUUAUUGUUAAUUUUGUGAUGUAUUUCA